CCUACGGGUGGCAGCAGUGGGGAAUAUUGGGCAAUGGGCGCAAGCCUGACCCAGCAACGCCGCGUGAAGGAAGAAGGCCCUCGGGUUGUAAACUUCUUUUAUUCGGGACGAAACAAAUGACGGUACCGAAUGAAUAAGCCACGGCUAACUACGUGCCAGCAGCCGCGGUAAUACGUAGGUGGCAAGCGUUAUCCGGAUGUAUUGGGUUUAAAGGGUGCGCAGGCGGAGGCACAAGUCAGCGGUAAAAUCGCGGGGCUCAACCCCGCUCCGCCGUUGAAACUGUGUCCCUUGAGUGCGCGAAGGGUAGGCGGAAUGCGUGGUGUAGCGGUGAAAUGCAUAGAUAUCACGCAGAACUCCGAUCGCGAAGGCAGCCUACCGGCGCGCAACUGACGCUCAUGCACGAAAGCGUGGGUAUCGAACAGGAUUAGAUACCCCUGUAGUC
rnacentral:rRNA from 1 species